GCCACCACGCGAAGGCACUGGGGCACAGCCAGCGCGAGGCGCCGAGGUCCUUUCCCAGGGCUUGUUAACACUGUAACCCAGCACUCGGAGGGAAGCAGCUCCCACUGCCCAGAGCCUGCCUCGUCGCACAUCAGAGGCUGGCUUCUACACACAGUUGGAGUCCUGCUUGAAACCUGGAUUUAGAGGGGUUCUCUUGCUGCCAUGACACUCAGUCAAAGCACCUAGAGUGGGCUGGCCGAGCCCAGAGUGGGUAUGAAGCAGAGGAACUACAGAGAAAGGCACUGGGAGAACACCAGGUUUGGAAACAGAGCAGCCAUUUGGAUUUGGGCAGGAAGCAGCCGAGCACAGC